GCCAGGGUGGCGUAGUGGUUUGAAUGUUGGAUUAUGACUUUAGAGACCAAGGUUUCAAUUCCUGGCUCGGCCA